rnacentral:lncRNA from 1 species
GGGUUUAUAAUGAUGAUUAGGACCGAAAUUGGUGGAGAUUUACAGCGCCGGCCAGGAAUGGAGGGAGAGGGGGCCGGGGCCGGGAGCGGCCUAAUGGAUCCGUCAGCGCGUUCGGCUGCUCAGCGGGCCGAGGCGGGUCACCCGGCUUUCCACUGGCAGCACAAAGCACUUCAAUUUCGUUAGGAAAUGUAUCAAUUUAACUGACUUGAGCGGCACACUGAAAAACCUAAUGAAUCUGGACUCAAUUUUCCGCCACACUGCUCCUGAGAACUGUCGGAAACAAUGUCUGUGGUCGGAGGUGACGGGGUGGCCGCCGAUAGG